GUGCCUACUAUUCUUGGCUCCGGGCGUAACUCAAACGAGCUAAAACGCAACAGAAAGAUGCCAGUGAAGCAAGUUUCAGCCUUUCUGUCAGACACCGUGCGGACAGACUCUCCCGCCUCUGACUGCCACAAGACCUUGAGCCCAGAAAGCGCAACAGGUUACAGUGAAAGAAACCCUGACGGAGCUUUCUCGGGCUGCACAGUUGAGACUCCGAGC